rnacentral:rRNA from 1 species
UACGAGGGGGGCGAGCGUUGUUCGGAAUUAUUGGGCGUAAAGGGUGCGUAGGCGGUUUGGUAAGUCUUAUGUGAAAUCUACAGGCUCAACUUGUAGUCUGCAUGAGAAACUGCCGGGCUUGAGUAUGGGAGAGGUGAGUGGAAUUCCUGGUGUAGCGGUGAAAUGCGUAGAUAUCAGGAGGAACACCUGUGGCGAAAGCGGCUCACUGGACCAUAACUGACGCUGAUGCACGAAAAGCUAGGGGGAGCAAACAGG